AUUGAACGCUGGCGGCAGGCCUAACACAUGCAAGUCGAACGGAGCGGCGGAGGGGGGAGGAAUGGCAAGGAAUCUGCCUGUGAGUGGGGGAUAAGGUCCAGAAACGGGCGCGAAUACCGCAUCCUAUCAGAUGAAGCUAGGUCGGAUUGGGUAGUUGGUGGGGUAAAGGCCUACCAAGGCGACGAUCCGUAACUGGUCUGAGAGGAUGAUCAGUCACACUGGAACUGAGACACGGUCCAGACUCCUACGGGAGGCAGCAGUGGGGAAUAUUGGACAAUGGGCGAAAGCCUGAUCCAGCCAUGCCGCGUGUGUGAAGAAGGUCUUCGGAUUGUAAAGCACUUUAAGUUGGGAGGCGUUACCAACAGAAUAAGCACCGGCUAACUUCGUGCCAGCAGCCGCGGUAAUUC
rnacentral:rRNA from 1 species